CCUACGGUGCGCUGCAGUGGGGAAUAUUGGACAAUGGGCGAAAGCCUGAUCCAGCCAUGCCGCGUGUGUGAAGAAGGCCUUCGGGUUGUAAAGCACUUUCAGUGGGGAAGAAAGCCUUGGGGCUAAUACCCUCGAGGAAGGACAUCACCCACAGAAGAAGCACCGGCUAACUCCGUGCCAGCAGCCGCGGUAAUACGGAGGGUGCGAGCGUUAAUCGGAAUUACUGGGCGUAAAGCGCGCGUAGGCGGUCUGAUAAGCCGGUUGUGAAAGCCCCGGGCUCAACCUGGGAACGGCAUCCGGAACUGUCAGGCUAGAGUGCAGGAGAGGAAGGUAGAAUUCCCGGUGUAGCGGUGAAAUGCGUAGAGAUCGGGAGGAAUACCAGUGGCGAAGGCGGCCUUCUGGACUGACACUGACGCUGAGGUGCGAAAGCGUGGGUAGCAAACAGGAUUAGAUACCCGUGUAGUC
rnacentral:rRNA from 1 species